GCCCCGAUAGCUCAGUGGAUAGAGCGUCUGCCUCCGGAGCAGAAGGUCGUAGGUUCGAAUCCUGUCGCGGGCACCA
rnacentral:tRNA from 1 species